UCAGCUUCUCGGCCUUUUGGCUAAGAUCAAGUGUAGUAUCUGUUCUUAUCAGUUUAAUAUUUUUUUUUUCACGUGCACAAGUCCAUGGGACCUGAUGAAAUCCAUCCACGGGUCCUGAAGGGGCUGGCGAAUGAAGUUGAUCGGCCACUGUCCAUAAUAUUU
rnacentral:snRNA from 1 species